UAGAGUUUUGAUCCUGGCUCAGAUUGAANCGCUGGCGGCAGGCUUAACACAUGCAAGUCGAGCGGAGAUGAGGUGCUUGCACCUUAUCUUAGCGGCGGACGGGUGAGUUAAUGCUUAGGAAUCUGCCUAUUAGUGGGGGACAACAUUCCGAAAGGGAUGCUAAUACCGCAUACGUCCUACGGGAGAAAGCAGGGGAUCUUCGGACCUUGCGCUAAUAGAUGAGCCUAAGUCGGAUUAGCUAGUUGGUGGGGUAAAGGCCUACCAAGGCGACGAUCUGUAGCGGGUCUGAGAGGAUGAUCCGCCACACUGGGACUGAGACACGGCCCAGACUCCUACGGGAGGCAGCAGUGGGGAAUAUUGGACAAUGGGGGGAACCCUGAUCCAGCCAUGCCGCGUGUGUGAAGAAGGCCUUAUGGUUGUAAAGCACUUUAAGCGAGGAGGAGGCUACUGAGACUAAUACUCUUGGAUAGUGGACGUUACUCGCAGAAUAAGCACCGGCUAACUCUGUGCCAGCAGCCGCGGUAAUACAGAGGGUGCGAGCGUUAAUCGGAUUUACUGGGCGUAAAGCGUGCGUAGGCGGCUUUUUAAGUCGGAUGUGAAAUCCCCGAGCUUAACUUGGGAAUUGCAUUCGAUACUGGGAAGCUAGAGUAUGGGAGAGGAUGGUAGAAUUCCAGGUGUAGCGGUGAAAUGCGUAGAGAUCUGGAGGAAUACCGAUGGCGAAGGCAGCCACCUGGCCUAAUACUGACGCUGAGGUACGAGAGCAUGGGGAGCAAACAGGAUUAGAUACCCCUGGUAGUCCAUGCCGUAAACGAUGUCUACUAGCCNUUGGGGNCCUUUGAGGCUU
rnacentral:rRNA from 1 species